rnacentral:rRNA from 1 species
UACGUAGGGACCAAGCGUUGUCCGGAAUCAUUGGGCGUAAAGAGCGUGUAGGCGGCUUGUUAAGUCUUGCGUGAAAUCUCGGGGCUCAACUCCGAGCGGUCGUGGGAAACUGGGCGGCUAGAGUGCGGGAGAGGAGAGUGGAAUUCCUGGUGUAGCGGUGGAAUGCGCAGAUAUCAGGAAGAACACCCGUGGCGAAGGCGGCUCUCUGGAACGCAACUGACGCUGAGACGCGAAAGCGUGGGGAGCAAACAGG